rnacentral:rRNA from 1 species
GUCUAGAGCCAUAGUACCCUCACCGUGCCCAGGUCUCAUCUAAUCUUGGAAGCUAAGCAGGGACAAGCCUCAUUGGUACUUAGGUGGGAAAAAAGAAAACAUUGCUAAUGACUCAUUUGCUGUAGACU